CCUACGGGGGGCAGCAGUGGGGAAUAUUGCACAAUGGGCGAAACCCUGAUGCAGCGACGCCGCGUGAGUGAAGAAGGACUUCGUUAUGUAAAGCUCUAUCAGCAGGGAAGAAAAUGACGGUACCUGAGUAAGAAGCCCCGGCUAACUACGUGCCAGCAGCCGCGGUAAUACGUAGGGGGCAAGCGUUAUCCGGAUUUACUGGGUGUAAAGGGAGCGUAGACGGCAGUGCAAGUCUGGAGUGAAAGGCUGGGGCUCAACCCCCGGACUGCACUGGAAACUGUACGGCUGGAGUGCAGGAGAGGUAAGUGGAAUUCCUGGUGUAGCGGUGAAAUGCGUAGAUAUUAGGAGGAACACCAGUGGCGAAGGCGGUCUGCUGGACAGCAACUGACGGUGAGGCGCGAAAGCGUGGGGAGCAAACAGGAUUAGAUACCCCAGUAGUC
rnacentral:rRNA from 1 species